UUAGAUUAAGGCUCUGCUAACGGGGUAGGACCCGAGGCCCUGUAAAGGGACACAUAGGCUCUCCUACCCAACUAAUAUUCCUACACGUCCCCGUCGUGCAGAGUGGUAACCUGCUCCCCCGUAUAUCCAAGCUUGGGUAAACGGGCCAGUUCCAACCCCUUGGGCGGAUGGUGGAGCACGACUGAACAGGAGAGG
rnacentral:ribozyme from 1 species